rnacentral:rRNA from 1 species
CGUGUAGGCGGGAAGGAAAGUCAGAUGUGAAAUCCCUGGGCUCAACCCAGGAACUGCAUUUGAAACUCCCUUUCUUGAGUACCGGAGAGGAAGGUGGAAUACCUGGUGUAGAGGUGAAAUUCGUAGAUAUCAGGUGGAACACCAGUGGCGAAGGCGGCCUUCUGGACGGUAACUGACGCUGAGACGCGAAAGCGUGGGGAGAAC